AUACGGAGGGUCCGAGCGUUAAUCGGAAUUACUGGGCGUAAAGCGCGCGUAGGCGGCUAUAUAAGUCAGAUGUGAAAUCCCUGGGCUCAACCUAGGAACUGCAUUUGAAACUGUAUGGCUAGAGUAUGGUAGAGGUGAGUGGAAUUUCAGGUGUAGCGGUGAAAUGCGUAGAGAUCUGAAGGAACAUCAGUGGCGAAGGCGACUCACUGGGCCAUUACUGACGCUGAGGUGCGAAAGCGUGGGUAGCAAACAGGAGUAGAAACCCCAGUAGUCC
rnacentral:rRNA from 1 species